rfam:Schistosoma margrebowiei strain Zambia genome assembly, scaffold: SMRZ_contig0000038
AUCCAGCUGACGAGGCCUGAAUGGGACGAAACGUGCGUCCUGGAU